UAGAGCCACAGCUGCAAAACUCAAGGCCAUUCUUUCCAAACAGGAAAGCAGGGAUUCUACAGGUUUCCCUCAGCUGUUCCAUUAUGAUGCAAUGGGCUUUUAUCCUCACAUCUAGUCUGGCACUAUCAUCCUUCUUGGGAGUGAUAUAUGAAAGUAUCCUCUGAUGAAGAAGAACAUGUCCAUCCUCUAACAUCCUUGACAAACUGCUGCAGAAUCAAUACCACAUACAGUGUUUAUGGCAUCAUUUAGUGUGACAGAUGUCAUAAGCCUUAUUUGCAUCAGUUACUGUAUUCAUCAGGACCUACUCUCAAGUUUGUGGUAUACAUUAUAAACCAAUCUUAGUUACACAUCGGCCAUAACAAGCAAAUAGCCUGAUGAUUUCAUCCAUAUUAUUUUUGUUGGCUCCCACCUGGAUUGUGUCAAGUUCAGCCUUUAACAAUGACUAUGGCCUUUUUCCAUGUUCUUAUUUGCUGCUCUGAUUUUCAAUGCCUUCUCCUACUUCAACAAUAUUGGAACACCAGCUGUUAAUUCUGCAGUGCUCUGAAGCUGCCUUUUUAAAUUCUCCAGUCCACUCUGCAUGGACAUCCUUUAAAAAAAAAAAAAAAAAGGUAUCAAUGAAUAUGUUCACAGCACAAAGGAGCACAACUACAGCUCCCAUCAUUCCUGCACAUGACCAGCACUAUGACCUCAGCUAGAUUAGGAUGCAAUUCCUAUGUUCUUCAUUGCUUACUGGCUGACAAACCGAAGGCUGAACAAAUAUUUUAAGCAUGUUAUCCAAGGGAUUAUAGAUACAUGAUUCUUACAAUGUCCAUCCUGAAAUACGUGAUCAUAGAUGUAAUUUAUUUUCUGGAGAUUUUGUGACUACACCCAAUGAAAGGGUGAAAUGAAGGAUUUAUUCGCCAAACCAUGUAAGCAAAAUGCAAAUCAGAAAGGAGAAAAUGCAAAAGCAACCCAAGAGCACAAAUGUAUUAGAUCAGUGCUGGUCUGCUACCUGAGAGAUGAAUGUUCAAUUUCCAGCUCGGCUACAGACUUACUGGGUGGCCCUCUGUGAUUCACUACCUCAGGGGUCUCAAUUUCCUAUCAUCAAAAUGAGAAGAAUGGUGACCUAGUUCACUGGGCCAAGAAUGAAUGAGGUACGUUAUGUAUAUUGUUUGCAGAGAAUUGUCCCUCUGCGGUGGAAUGGAGGAGGGACAUACAUUCACGCAUUCCUUAAUAGUGGAGCACAGCCUUGCAAGAAGAUUGGACCUGAAUACAGGCUGGGUGUCAGAAAUACUCAGGACCAGAAGUGUUUUGGAUUUUGGAUUUUUUUUUCCAGAUUUUGUAAUACCUGCAUUUGUAUAUACAUCCAUAAUAAAAUAUCCUGGAGUCCCAGUCUAAACACGGAAUUUGCUUAUUUAUGCCUUAUAGCUUGAUGGUAAUUUAAUGCCAUGUUUUUAGUCAUUUUUAUUUAUUUAUUAUUUAUUUAUUACAUUUAUAUGCC